UCAGCAUCUGUUCUCCCAAAAAUCCACAUCAGCCCUCUCAAUUUUCUAUUCUCUCUAUCUUUGUUUCACGUAUCUAUUGCUAUUCCAAUUCCAAAAACGGUUUCACAUGUUCUCUUUUUUCUACUGAACUGUUUCUAUUCCAAUUCCAAAACGCGGUCUCUCUUUCUAUCGAUUUGUUUCUUCUUCCUCUGCAUCUUCAUACAAAACUCUACUCCACUCUCGAUCGUGAACGGUAGUGCGACCUCUUUCUCAGAUGAAAGGGCGUCGGUUGUUGGUUGAAAAGUUAUGUAAUUGAUGAUUUUGUCGUCGUCGCUCAUCUGUUUCACGAGACAGAAGAAUCAUGACCCGAACUGCAACAACAAUAACUCUGUUUCCUUACUCAGCCAUGUUCCAAAACGAGUCGUUUUAAACGACAAACUCAUCCAUGUUUUCUCUUAUCUCAUCCAUGUUCCAAUCACCUUUCUAUCGAUUCUUUUCACUCUUUCACUAAUUUGCUAUUGGCGGUGCAGAUUCUGAUCGUAUUCAUCAAUUGUAGAUUGCAGAACUUAUAAUUAUGUACUUGCUGAAGGGUUUAAAUGAAUUAAUUGAGUCAAAUAUUGUUCAGGUUGCUACUGCCGUUAGAGCGACAGGGGACUACCCAGAACGGCUUGGGGAACCUCCAUGUCAGGUAUAGUUUUCUAAAUGAUGUUCAUUUUGGUAAGCUGUGUUAUCAAAUAUCGCCCAUGGCAGCGUAAUAGUGUGUAUACAUGGCAAUUUUUCGGCUCGCUGCAAUGGUAAAUAUCAGCCGAUAUUGCAGGUUGUUAUGCCAUAAUCCGCUAUAGCGGCACUGCAAAAUGGCUAGCAGUAUCAGUAUGGCUGGAUUUUGGCUCUCCGCUAUGGAUUGUCCUCUGCCAUCGACAACACUGGCACUCACGCUGAGUGCUGACAAGUAGGGAAUUGCGGGUUCGAAGCCCCGCCUCAGUAUAUCAAAUAUUUGUACAACUUCAAUUUGAGAUUUGCUUAAAUGAUAAUGUUGAUAAUUUAUUAUAUGAUUCGGAAACUUCUUAUAUUUACUAUUUAAUAAAUGUUAUACUAAUUGUGGCUUUCUUCUUAUGAGCAGUAUUAUUUCAAGGGGAAACAUUAUUUCUUGAUGUCAAGCUAUUAUAUAUGUCUUUUCGUUUAAACUCCGGUACACUACACACACCAUUGGAGUAAAUUGGUUUGCCAUCUAUAAAUUGGUUUGAUAUCUAUAUAUGUAAAUGAUGAGUAGAGCUUAAAGGAUUUUGUGAGUGUGACAGCACAUAUCUAUCUAACCAUAGUCUAACUAUUUCCAUUAACAUUUGGAAAAUAUAGGGGGGUGGAACAUAUCUAUUACAAAUCAACCUUCAUUCUGCUUCAAAAGGUUUUAAAUAAGUAGAUGUAUUUUCCUGGAAGUUCUUAUAAUUGAUUGAUUUUUACAGACUCCUAUGUCAUCUGGAGCAUAAGGAUUGCCUUGAUCUCUAGAGUUGUCUAUGGGCUAUUUCAUUGAUGUUAUUAUAAGUUAUAACUAAAAAAAUACAGCCACCUAUUUUCUGGUCAUGUAUUCCAAACUUCAAGAAAACUACUUUGCAUAUUCUAAUGAUUAAAAUGAUAUGUACAUACCCUGAUCAUUUCUGUUUUGUCUUAGAAUGGAAUGCUUGCAUUGCACUAGAAACUAAAAUUGUUACAGCGUAAUAAGAUGGUGCUCCCUAUGUUAGUGAAAUUGAAAUUGACAGGGUCUGAAUUUUGGUAUAAAUGAGUUGGUGAUCGUUGGUGUGAUAGUAUGCGAGAAGUAGAAGAGAGCAUGGUGUCAUUGUCUGUGAGUAGUGUUCUCUUUGGAGCUUUAAUCUCUUUGUAUUAUUUCGCCCUUCGUUGAAUGGCUUUUAACAAGGUAGUGGAUUCUGAAAGAGUUACUUUUCAAAAACUGAUAUAAUCAUUUUAGUCCUUUUAGUUUUAUCUUAUACACAUUUAUAUAGGAGGUCUAACAUAUUCCAAUCAUUACCAUAACUGUGUGUGAUCAUAACACAUGGAAUAUGUAUCCAGAUUACUAAUAACUGAAGAAUUGAUGCAAAUUGCUCUUAUUAAAUAAAUGCAUAAUAAAAGACACUGCAAAUCAUGACAAUGUGAAGAAGAGAUUUCUGGCAAAAGUACUGUAUAAAGACCAGAAGAAGAGGGAGGGUGAAUUACCUGUACAGAAACAAGCGAUAGGCCUAUCCAUUUGCACAUCUUAUAGUUCGUUUUGAUGAAAUUCUUGAACUGGUCAAAAUUCCCUGAGGGGUCCUUAGGGAAGUCCUGAUUCAGAUUUCAAAGUUAAAAUGGAUCAGACCAUGGUUGUUGAAGAUAAGCUACAGUCUGCGACGGGCUUCUGUUGCAACUACCACAAAGGGAUGCAUAAGCAAGUUAGUUUGGUUACUGACACCUUUUUUGCAUUGAAUAUUGAUGUUAUGUUAUUUUAAUUUCAAUGUUGAAAUGAUUCAUUGUUUUUUUUGGCUAAUUAGUAUUUUCAUUGUGGCUGAGGAAACCCUGACAAAGUUCCUUUCCAAGGCCACUUGAAUUGCUAUCGACGAGGUCCGGAUGAUUGCAUUGUUGUUUACCACAAGUAUAGUGGGAUAGCAGCGGUACGUGCCUGCAGCUUUGUGAGUGUAGAGCCCACAAAGGUUGUUGAGAUACUUGAAAACUGACUGUCAUGGAAUUGUGAAUGUCGAUGUGUUGAAGCGAAGCUACAACGAAACAAGGUGGAAAGAAGCAUUCCUCAUCAUUCCUUAAGGACACGAUUACUACCCUUCUUCACACGAUCUGCCAAUCAGAGAAAGCCUGUUAUGUUGCUCACAUAAAUAGCUACCUCGCCGAUGAUCCAUUUCUGAGUCAAUAACUUCCUUUGGACCCGGCUACUAAUAGUCUAUUUGAUCUAUCAAAAGAUGGCAUUCUUCUGUGUAAGCUUAUUAAUGUUGCUGUGCCUGGGACUAUAGACGAGCGAGCCAUCAAUACGAAACGAUUGGAUUGGAUUGUUAAUUUGCUGAAUAAUAAUGCCAAGUUGGCAAUGAUCAAAGUAUAUUCAUUCCCAAGUUUCUUACUUAUCUUCAUUCCCAAGUAUAUUCAUGUCCCUUGAUUCCAACUUCCAGCUGCUUGUGUUGUAAUGAUAGGUUUUUAUACUCUAUUUGCAUACAUGCUUCAUUGAAAUGUAAUGAGUCAAUGUUGGGCUACAGAAGUUUACUUCAAAUUAUAACAAAAUAUGUACAUGGAUGAUGAUUGCAUUCAACUUAAUGGUGAUUUUGGGAUAUGUAAUAUGGGGUACGUACAUCAUUUUAGACU